rnacentral:rRNA from 1 species
UACGGGGGGGGCAAGCGUUGUUCGGAAUUACUGGGCGUAAAGGGCUCGUAGGCGGCCCACUAAGUCAGACGUGAAAUCCCUCGGCUUAACCGGGGAACUGCGUCUGAUACUGGAGGGCUUGAGUUCGGGAGAGGGAUGCGGAAUUCCAGGUGUAGCGGUGAAAUGCGUAGAUAUCUGGAGGAACACCGGUGGCGAAGGCGGCAUCCUGGACCGACGACUGACGCUGAGGAGCGAAAGCCAGGGGAGCAAACGGGG